AGAGUUUGAUCCUGGCUCAGGAUGAACGCUAGCUACAGGCUUAACACAUGCAAGUCGAGGGGCAGCAUUUUAGUUUGCUUGCAAACUGAAGAUGGCGACCGGCGCACGGGUGAGUAACACGUAUCCAACCUGCCGAUAACUCGGGGAUAGCCUUUCGAAAGAAAGAUUAAUAUCCGAUAGUAUAUUAAAACCGCAUGGUUUUACUAUUAAAGAAUUUCGGUUAUCGAUGGGGAUGCGUUCCAUUAGUUUGUUGGCGGGGUAACGGCCCACCAAGACUACGAUGGAUAGGGGUUCUGAGAGGAAGGUCCCCCACAUUGGAACUGAGACACGGUCCAAACUCCUACGGGAGGCAGCAGUGAGGAAUAUUGGUCAAUGGACGAGAGUCUGAACCAGCCAAGUAGCGUGAAGGAUGACUGCCCUAUGGGUUGUAAACUUCUUUUAUAUGGGAAUAAAGUAUUCCACGUGUGGGAUUUUGUAUGUACCAUAUGAAUAAGGAUCGGCUAACUCCGUGCCAGCAGCCGCGGUAAUACGGAGGAUCCGAGCGUUAUCCGGAUUUAUUGGGUUUAAAGGGAGCGUAGGUGGAUUGUUAAGUCAGUUGUGAAAGUUUGCGGCUCAACCGUAAAAUUGCAGUUGAAACUGGCAGUCUUGAGUACAGUAGAGGUGGGCGGAAUUCGUGGUGUAGCGGUGAAAUGCUUAGAUAUCACGAAGAACUCCGAUUGCGAAGGCAGCUCACUAGACUGCAACUGACACUGAUGCUCGAAAGUGUGGGUAUCAAACAGGAUUAGAUACCCUGGUAGUCCACACAGUAAACGAUGAAUACUCGCUGUUUGCGAUAUACAGUAAGCGGCCAAGCGAAAGCAUUAAGUAUUCCACCUGGGGAGUACGCCGGCAACGGUGAAACUCAAAGGAAUUGACGGGGGCCCGCACAAGCGGAGGAACAUGUGGGUUUAAUUCGAUGAUACCCGAGGAACCUUACCCGGGCUUAAAUUGCAAAUGAAUAACCUGGAACAAGGUUACCCGCAAGGGAUUUUUGAAAGGGUUCCCAGGGUGUCCCCACCUCCUCGCCCCGAGGGUGCGCCUUUAAUUGCCUUAACAGAGGCAACCCCUUAUUUUUAUUUUCUAACAAGGGCUGCGUGAGAGACUCAAUAGAGAAUGCCCCCCUCAAAAUGGGGGAGAAGGGGGGGGUGAGGGCAAAACACACCGGGCCUCUAUUCCCGGGGGGUCACCACUGUUAUAAAAGGGGGGGUGCGAAAAGAGACUCCCCUGGCCCAAGAGCGUAAUCCCAAAAACCUCUCUCAGUUCGGAUCGAAGUCUGCAACCCGACUUCGUGAAGCUGGAUUCGCUAGUAAUCGCGCAUCAGCCAUGGCGCGGUGAAUACGUUCCCGGGCCUUGCACACACCGCCCGUC
rnacentral:rRNA from 1 species